rnacentral:misc_RNA from 1 species
UCCGGUUUGUCACCGGCAGUCUCCCUAGAGUGCCCUUGCGUAGCAACUAGGGACAAGGGUUGCGCUCGUUGCGGGACUUAACCCAACAUGUCACCACACGAGCUGACGACAGCCAUGCAGCACCUGUCAUCUGGUCGUAUUGCUACGAAAAACGUGUCUCCACGUCGGUCCAGAGAUGUCAAACCCAGGUAAGGUUUUUCGCGUUGCUUCGAAUUAAACCACAUGAUCCACCGCUUGUGCGGGCCCCCGUCAAUUCCUUUGAGUUUUAGUCUUGCGACCGUACUUCCCAGGCGCGGUACUUAUUGCGUUAGCUCCGGCUCAGCAGGGGUCAAGACCCGCCAAGCCUAGUACCGAUCGUUUACAGCGUGGACUAC